CAGUCACCAGCUUAACGAGGCUGAAUUUCAGGAGAACCUCUUCAAAAAGCAUCCUGGCAAAGCAUGUGUAACACACAACGAGGACUGAGCAGGACAUAAGGCACAGCAGCUGCCUUCACUUUGUUUCAGAAUAACUUUUUCAGCCCACAAGGCUGAAACACUUUCUGUGACUGAAAUGGCUCCAGCACAGCUAUUCCCUCGAAGACAUCCUCCAUGAUUUCUUGUGAUGCCUGUAAGACUGCUGAAGUUUCAGUUCAGAGAUAAACCAGAUACCAGAAUAAAGGAACAUAGACCAGUGAGACAUCUCCUGACCUCUGUUCCCAUCUGAGGAUAUCCGGAGUAGAACAGAGCAGCAGAGGCACCAUAGACUACAGCUACGCAUGGGGAACGUUCUUCUGCCUCAAAGAUACAGCCGUUGCCAGCUGAGGAUGGACCUUAUAUAUCCAUAGGUUCCUGCGAGUGGGUGAAGCAGGUCACUUUGGCUUCCAGAGGCUCAUGAUCUUAAAGUCCUCCCUUAAAGAGAGCAGGAUGCACUGAGGAAAGUACGACCUCUGCUUCAUGCACAGUCCCCAGACCUUUUGCCUAGGGGCCAAGGACAACUACAUUAACUCAGGCAACAAGUUUAUGGAAAGGGUUUGCGUAAGAUUUGCAGUCCCGUGAGGAUCAAUCUGCCCUGAGAGGGAUGAGGUGACCAAAUUUGAAGACAGUAUUCAAAGUGAGGAUGUGCCACUGAUUUAUAUAAUGGCAUUAUAAUAUUUUCCAUAUUAUUCUCUAAAACUCUUUUCUUCAUACAAACCCCUUAAGAUUCUUUUUAAUUCUUUGAACUAUAGUGCCUUUUAACAUCUGUAGUUUACUCUGAUCAGAUUUUGACAAAGGAAUAAAAGGCUCCAUUUUUCACAUAGAAUUUUAUUUAUUGUUUGAACUUUAGAGGAGAAAUUGGUUAACUUACAAUUUAAAAUUCUUGGCAAUGUAGACCAUUGGAGAAGGAUUUCAUUAUCAGCCCUUCUAUACUUUCUGUAGAAAUGCGCAAACCUGAAAGUUGGUGGACAAGAUCUUGGCUCAGAAGACUUUACUUUUGUAUUAUAAACAUAGCCAAAGACUUAGUUUGGAGCUGCUAGCAUCCCCAGAGAUGUCAGAGAUAUCAUUGUUCUGUACGCCCUUCCUGAUGCAGUGUGCUGGGGCCAUGCAUUGACAUGCCAUCCAGCCAGUGCCAUGCGUGUGCGUGAGCGGUAUCCGAAUGCCGUGAUCUCCUGUACCUUACCACGGACUUCCACAGUAGGUCAGGGAAAGACCCCUCUGAAAAUGAGGCGCCUGAUGACUGUGGAGGGUGAGAAUCUUGCUCUCGUGUCACAGCUGGGCGUGAUGCCUUCAUCGAGGUAUUAGAAAAGGCUCAAGGAAAACAGUUACAUCCAUUCUAUUGCCUGAGACACUUCCUGCAGCUACUGACUCGCCUUAGAGUUACCAAUCCAAAUGCUGACCCUACCUGACCCUACUUAUCUUUUAAAAGCUGACAAGAUCACAGCCUGAAGCAGUAUAGCCACAGGCUCAAUACUGGUUACCAAAAUGUCUGUUUAGUAUUUUCAAAAACGCUGCUCUUAAGAUUUACAACACAAGCUGCUAGAUAUAUGGACAACACCGAAACACAUCCCUGACCCCUGAACAUUCAGCCCCACUUACACGGAAAUUUGUGCCUCUCGAGGGGCCAGCACUGAGUUGCUGCAAAAUAGUUAUUCCCUACCUGCAAGUAAGCUGGAACUGAAGCGUCAUAGGAUUGUAUGCAUUCAGAUACAGGGUAAAAAUAUUUGAAAACUACAGCCUUGAUUUCAGAAUUCAUUGUCAGCUUCUUUCGUUAGCUGCAUUACUGCUUUAACAGUAGAAAGUGCUCUGCCCUUUUUGUGCAAUAUCUUUUUUUUAGUUUAGUAUCGCAAAUUGUCCUAAUUCUUCUAUGACCAAAGCAGUUUUUCAUCAGAAGCUGUUUUUAGAUGAACUGUAAGUUUCUUCCCUAGUAAAUAACUGUAUGAAAGAAAACACAUAUUUUUCUGAAUAUGUCUAAGAUUAAAUGGAUAAACUCAGUUUAAAAUACUCAGGAAACAUUAAGGGACCAAUCUAGUUUAGUUGUUUGUGCAUUCAUACAUAAUAUAAAUUCAUAGUUCUUGCAGAGUGUUUGUUGUUGUUGUUGGUGGUGGUGUUUUUUUUUUAACAGCAAAGACAUGGAAAAGACACUGAGGUCUUAUUGCUCCUGUCGGAAACUUCUGCCGACUACAGCAAGCGUUGGACUGUGCCCAGAGAAACCAAAUACACAAAGUUGCAAUGAGUUGGCCAUACAAGCAAGGAAAAUCACAGAUAACAGAUCCACACAAAUUAGUAAUGUACCUUUUAGGUCAUCCAGUACAGCUUGCUGACACUGUGAGAUUGCCUCCUAUGGCAUAUUUUUGGUUGCUUUGGAUGCCUAGAUUAAAUGUCCUAAGUGAUGCCAUGUACCUAAGGAGAGAUUGUGUUGCCUAGCAUAUCCUGUUGGAAGUUUUUUUUUUCCUUUCUUAACAUCAUCAUAUUUCUCCCAGUUACGUUCCUUUGCAAUCCUCCUUAUUUUCCAUCUACGAUGUUAUUUUUCUCCAAUGUCUUUAGACUAAUGUGACGUUCCAUUUAGUUAACAUUAAGUCAGUUCAUACCUAUUUAGAUCAUUUAAUCGUCUCUGAUAAAUCAGUCCUUUCUGUCUCCUGGUUAUUUUUUUAUCUCCUCUUGUCCCACUCCUGUCUGUCAGUACCUUUUUUAACUAUAAGAUUUUGAAGAUUUGGUGCAUUUAUCUGAACUAACAGCAGGUCUGGUACAGACUUGAGCACCCUUUCUCACUGAAAACCACUCCUGAUGUGCUCAAGGGAAAGCCACUGGCAUUCUGAGCAGAUGAGCAGGCAGAGCAUCCUGUUCAAACCACUUCCUCGGUACCACCUGUUUUACUGAAUGAUCAGCAACAACAAAAAACAUUAAAACAUUUAACCUAGUGAUUCAGAAACCAAGUACACACCACUAUGGAUUAAUUAUACUUUUUCAUAAUGCUAGGAAAUAUAAUGACAGAGAGGAAAAUAUAUUUGUUGUUGCUGUUGAUAUUUUGAAACUCCUGGUCAUGGACAUCACGAUCUAAAAUUAUGGAAGACGUUGUCUUGUCUAGUAACUAUAUUUAGGUGCCACUGGAGUACACUGUAGAAAGUAAUUAUAUAUGUAGUCACAAGCCUAGCUGUUCACGUCAGGCAAUAAAUCCUGAUCAACAAACAACACUCCUUUAGUGCUAAAUGAAAUCUUGGCUGUAAUUGAAUGUCUUUACCUUUGUGUUCUGUUGGAUUGGAGGAAUAUCAUUUUAAUCUGCUCUCUUUAAAUUUUCAUUAAGGAACGUUUCAGCUACCUGCAGCCUCAUCUGAUGAUGUUUAAUGAUAUCAGCUAGCUCAUUCUUCCGUGCACCAGCAGGGGCUUCUUUAAAUUGGUCAACUGUACAGAACAUUGUUUUCAAGUUUAAUGUACUUGGAAUCAACCUUUUAAAAUAAUGAUGUCUCUACAGACAGUUUAUAUACGUAGUGCACACACAUAUGUGCGUGUGUAUGUAUGCAUAUAUAUGCGUAAGUGCACACAUACAUAGAGAAACACUGAUCCUAUUCACCUUCUUGAAAACAUUUCAGCUAGUAUUAGCAUAAAUGUGCUGUUAAGUUGGCAGUGUUAUACAUUUUUGUUGGAGUUUACUUCUGUAACCUAAAAUCAGGCAGAUAAGCUGUGAAACUCAUGCAGCUGAUGACAUAAUGCUGGGAUCUCAUGAUGCUGAAUCUCAUAUUUCUAGGCAUAAAGGAUGGAUGUUCCUUUCUGGAAUUAUUAUGCUGCCAAUUGCAGUAUAUGUUUUCAUGUUUUCAUGUUUUCAUGUGGGCA